rnacentral:rRNA from 1 species
CAUAGGUUAAUGAGGCGAACCGGGGGAACUGAAACAUCUAAGUACCCCGAGGAAAAGAAAUCAACCGAGAUUCCCCCAGUAGCGGCGAGCGAACGGGGAGCAGCCCAGAGCCUGAAUCAGUAUGUGUGUUAGUGGAAGCGUCUGGAAAGGCGCGCGAUACAGGGUGACAGCCCCGUACACAAAAAUGCACAUGCUGUGAGCUCGAUGAGUAGGGCGGGACACGUGGUAUCCUGUCUGAAUAUGGGGGGACCAUCCUCCAAGGCUAAAUACUCCUGACUGACCGAUAGUGAACCAGUACCGUGAGGGAAAGGCGAAAAGAACCCCGGCGAGGGGAGUGAAAAAGAACCUGAAACCGUGUACGUACAAGCAGUGGGAGCACGCUUAGGCGUGUGACUGCGUACCUUUUGUAUAAUGGGUCAGCGACUUAUAUUCUGUAGCAAGGUUAACCGAAUAGGGGAGCCGAAGGGAAACCGAGUCUUAACUGGGCGUUAAGUUGCAGGGUAUAGACCCGAAACCCGGUGAUCUAGCCAUGGGCAGGUUGAAGGUUGGGUAACACUAACUGGAGGACCGAACCGACUAAUGUUGAAAAAUUAGCGGAUGACUUGUGGCUGGGGGUGAAAGGCCAAUCAAACCGGGAGAUAGCUGGUUCUCCCCGAAAGCUAUUUAGGUAGCGCCUCGUGAAUUCAUCUCCGGGGGUAGAGCACUGUUUCGGCAAGGGGGUCAUCCCGACUUACCAACCCGAUGCAAACUGCGAAUACCGGAGAAUGUUAUCACGGGAGACACACGGCGGGUGCUAACGUCCGUCGUGAAGAGGGAAACAACCCAGACCGCCAGCUAAGGUCCCAAAGUCAUGGUUAAGUGGGAAACGAUGUGGGAAGGCCCAGACAGCCAGGAUGUUGGCUUAGAAGCAGCCAUCAUUUAAAGAAAGCGUAAUAGCUCACUGGUCGAGUCGGCCUGCGCGGAAGAUGUAACGGGGCUAAACCAUGCACCGAAGCUGCGGCAGCGACGCUGAUGCGUUGUUGGGUAGGGGAGCGUUCUGUAAGCCUGCGAAGGUGUGCUG